rnacentral:lncRNA from 10 species
CUUUUCAGUUCUGUCUUCCUGAGGCUGCUGUUUCUGGGCAUGGCCAGGGGAUCUUCAGACUUUACAAACCAGUUGUGCAGAGCCAGGCAUUUCAAUAAGGAACAAAAUGCUGAGUAACAACAUGAAGUCAGAGUGUUGCUUGCCAAGAGCUGGGAGGCCUGGGUGGUUUCCCAAUCUUAAAGAAGCAGAAGGAUAUUAAAGUGAGCCUCCCAAAGGAAAACGUGGAUCUACUUACCAACGCAGAAAAUGAUACACACGGAUUCGAUUUAGUCAUGUGCCUGGGAAAGAUUGAUGCCAGCUCCAGAAAGGCAUCCGAAUGGUCUAAGUAAUGCCAUCCAUCUGUCAGUAAUAGAUUCAGAAAUGGAAUUCUGGAGGAAAGUGGCUCUGGGAAUUGAACAGUGGCUCAGUGAUGUUGGGGCCACCAAGUCUGCAAUUCUCCCUACCUGUUCUUCAUGGUUGUAAGAUGACUGCUGCAAUUCUCGGCAUCAUGUGCAUGUUAAUGUCAGGAGGAAGAAAGGAAGAGGGAGCACUGGGAUGUUACAUUCAUUUUGUCAGGAAAAGCAAAGCCUUUCCAGACAGCUCCGAAACUUGCUUACCUCUCAUUGGCCAGCACCAUCACUUGACCACUUGUCCACUCCUAGCUGCAAGGAAAGUGGCAAAGUAGAAGGUAUUUGAGAAUGUCUGCUGGGUUAGCCAAAACAAUAGUGACUUCUACACCCAAUUUUCUGGGCACUGCAGAAGUAUCCUUGAGUCCUAUGUGAUCAGAGGGAGAGCAAACCUCAAUAAUGAAACAGAUUCAAUUUCCAUCACCCAGUGAGACACCAUGGGAUUAGAAUAAAUUUUUAAAAAAACAAAUUGAAAAAAAUGCAUUUUUAAAACAACAAAAUCAGAAAGGAUGAAAGGUGAUAUUUCUAGCAUAUCAGUUUGUGGUGGUAAAUUAAUUACCUUAUACAAAGGCCUCAGUGACUUUCUUCUCCUUACCUAACGAAUCAUCUUUAAAAUAAGUAAAAUAAAGAAACAAGAGCAGCAGCAGAUGCUUCCUAAAAAGAAGUUACCAAAUCUGUUCACCACAAACCUGAGAAUUCAACUGUGGACAUUUGGACACCAGCAAUGAACAUGAAACUCAGCUUAUGAGGCAUAUUUGGCUAAAGGUCAAGGUGACUUAAAGUUCAUCAUAGGACAUCUACAAUUUGCAAAGCAGGUGACUGGAUAUGGACUCCUUCCAAGUCUCAUUUAAUUGGAUAAUGCCUACGUUUUAAGUAUCAGAAGUGAGUCUUUCUCUAUUAAAUGAAGUCAGUUCCACUAAAACCUAAAUCUUGUUUGGCAGGCACUCCAUGUUUCUUAAUUUUUAUUCCAUGCUGUAUAUUCUUUUAGACUUGAUUUUCACUUUUUUUUCUUUUUUCCUGUACAUUUAUCUUUGCUGUGAAACAAAGUGCCCUGCUUUGAAGGACAGGUUUGUGGGCUGCUGGUGGUGAGACAACAGCAGUCCUUCCAAGUCUUCCUCCCAUCACUCUGUUAGCUCUCCCUUUGUUUUUAAUUAGCAUUACACCAGUUAAUUCUGUUAUCUCUUAACCCUGGUUCUGCAUCCUCUUCUUCUUUUCUAUUCCUUACUCCGCUCCUGUUUUUUCUUGUUCUGCUUUUCCAAGAAAUGUCUUGUCUCCUCAUCAGUUGACUGUCUUCUCUUUCCAGAGGGACCAUAAAGGUGCCAGCCUAAGGAACACGUAAAACGUGGGAACAGACAAACAAGCUGCUGCCUAUUACAGAGAUAGAUAAUUAACUUUGGACCAUUACAUGCAAUUCAUCAGCUUAUCUUUUUCAAACUUUAUAUAAGAAGUCAUUUCCCAAUGGUAACCACUUGCCAGCUGCAACUUUGACGCAUAUUAUCAGGAUAGGUGAGAUUGAUGGGGGCCCUUUGAACUCUUCCCAGGGAAUUAUCUUUAUAAUGUUACAGUUUUCUCUAUAGCAUGGUCAUAUUGUUAACAUUGGUUAUAAGGUCAUAUGGUUAGUAUGGUUAGUAUUGGUGGCUCACAGCUGUAAUACCAGCACUUUGGGAGGCCAAGGUGGGAGGAUCACUUGAGCCCUGGUGUUCAAAACCAGCUCUGGAAACAUAGCAAGACCUUGUCUCUACAAAAAAAAAUUAAAUAAAUUAAAAGAUUAGCUGGGCAUGGUGGCACAUGCCUGUAGUCCUCACUACUUGGGAAACUAAGGUGGGAGGAUCCUUUGAGCUUGGGAGGUUGAGGCUGCAGUGAGCUGUGGUUGUGCCAUGGCACUCCAGCCUGGGUGACAGAGUGAGAGCCUGUCUCAAAAAAAAAAAAAAAAAAAAAAAAAAGUACCUGUAAGGUCUUUGGGAUUUUGAAGAUGAAAGGUGUUGCAUAAAUUGAAUGAAUUCACUUAGAGAGAUAGAAGGCAACUACAGGGAAUAUUACGUACAUCAUGGAGCGGAAAGCACUAAGGCCUGUGGAAUUAUUCUCAGUGACACGUCGUUGAGGGCAGUGGUCCACAUGUUUUGAACAUGGUUUCUCCCAGGUGAAAAGGAUGAGUAAUUUGUUCUCCUUCACAUGUGUGUAUGUAGGUCUUAUACACAGCAGAUUUGCCACAAAACAAAUGAAGAUUACACUUUGGGCCCCUCUCUCACAUGAGCCCCUUCCAAAGUUCUGUUUGCUAAUUUUACAUUUUGUAAUUUCUUAUUAUUUUUCUUAAAGAAGCCUCCUCCAAUUGCAUAAACUUCAAGCCUCACAAAAUUUGGAUCCAUACCUGAGCCAACAUACAAUACAAUUUUCCAUUUCUAACUUUUAGUUGUACCUAGUGUUUUAUUGGAAAUGAUCAAGUACAUGAGUGGUGUCUUUUUAAAAAAUUUACUUUAUUUGCUUCUCUAGCUUCAUCGUUAGUUAGGCAGUUAAAUCUAACCAUUUGGAGGUAUUUUCAUAUAACCUCCAUUGAGGACAAUUUGGCAAUAGCUUUUAAAAUUAUAAAUAUAUUUGUACAGUUAUAAGCUGCCAUAUCUAUAAAACUAUUUGAUAGACAAAAGUUGAAAACCCUCCAAGAGCUCAUCAAUAAAAGAUUAAAUUAAUUAUGAUACAUCCAUAUGAGCACUGAGCAGCUGUGAAAAAAAUGAGGAAGUAAUUCCUGUGCUGAUAUGGGAAGACUUCCAAGACAUGUUGUUAAGUACAGAAUGGUGUAUACAGUAUGCUAUAUAGUGUGGUAAAAGGUUUAGGGAUAAGCAUUUAUAUUUAUAACUGUUUAUAUUUACAUAAAGUAAUUCUGAAAGGAUACAAAAAAGCUAACAAAAGAGAUUACCUGUGGUAGUGUGGGGCUUGGGGAUUGGAUGGGUGAGAAACAGUAGUGGAAAUGAGAUAUUGUACAGUUUAAGGCAUUAUACACCUAUAAAAACAUGGGAAUGUAUUACCUACUCAAAAAGUGAAAUUAAGAGAGAUACAAGAAACUGUUUGGAUGUUCCUUCCCGUUUCAAUGUAUCUAUAUUUUUUCAGCCCUCAAAGUUAUUAUAAAUGUCAUUAUAAUAACUUCAUAAAGCUUCCCCUAUAAUGAGAAUCUUACCAUUCUCCUAACUCCAAUAGCACUGUAAUCCACCUCUGUUAGGACACAUCACUCUUCAUCAUGUGUGAUUAUUAUUUGCAGAUAUCAUCUUCAAGGCUCUUCUCUAUUUACCACCUGCCAUUCUUGUUCUCACCUCUACAUGACCUUCACAUUUUAUUUCUCUCGGUUUUUUGGACAAGCUACAUUCCCUUCCACAGAGAAGGCUUCCCUGACCCCUUUCACUUGGUUGGAUUACCUUGCUAUUCUUUUCUAUCUUUGUACAUUCCUUUUCAAAAUACUUAUCUCCCUUGUUGUUACCUAUAAUGUCUGUCUUCUUUACUCAAGAGUCUAGACAAAAAGCUCCACGCCAGCCUCGGCUGUGUUUGUAUUGUUUACGUCUGUGUUCCUAGUGCUUAAUAAAAUACCUAGCAAGGGUUAAUAAGUACUUGUUGACUGGAAGGGAAUGACUUCCUUCCCUUACUAGAGAGUGAUUUCCUUACAGGCGAGAUGUGUCAACCUUCUAUAGCCCACAUAAAAUAAAGGACAAUAUCUCCUAUUGGAUAAAAGACAA